GGCUUAUUGAAUAAUAAUUUUAAGUCAAUUCUGCCCAAUGAUUAAAAAAUUUAAUGGCUGCAGUAUAAUUGACUGUACAAAGGUAGCAUAAUCAAUUGUUUUUUAAUUAAGAACUGGAAUGAAAGAGUUAAUGAGAUAUAUACUGUCUCAUAUAUAUAUAAUUAAUUUAAAUUUUUAGUUAAAAUGCUAAAAUUAAUUUAUGGGACGAUAAGACCCUAUAGAAUUUAAUAUUAAUAUAUUGAUUAUAAUUUAAUUAUUAAAUAUUAAUAUUUUGUUGGGAGGAUAAGUAAAUUUAUUAAACUUUAUUUUAAAUAUUAACUUAAAUUAAAGAAUAAAUAUUUUUGAUCUUUUAAUAAAAAUUAAAAGAAUAAAUUACCUUAGGGAUAACAGCGUAAUAUCUUUUUAAAGAUCAUAUUGAAAAAGAUGAUUGCGACCUCGAUGUUGAAUUAAGAUAAAUUUUAAAUGAAGAAAUUUAAUAAUUAAGUCUGUUCGACUUUUAAAAUCUU
rnacentral:rRNA from 1 species